rnacentral:sRNA from 1 species
UUUGAAUCAAGGUCUUACCCGAGG